GUGGAGGCUCUGGGACAGGAUGGAGAUUUCCGGUGGAGUGCGAACUACUGAGGGACGCUGUCCCGGUCUACGAUUCGAGGGUGGAAUGCCGACGCUGAGCUUGUUCUUGAGCCGGGUAAGAUCGAGAGUAGAGUUCUAUCAGACCGAAGCUUGUUUGUUUUUUCCACACGAGUGUUGCGUGCCGGGCAGUGCAGCGUUACAUCUGCUCUCUCACUCUUCCAGGAAAGCCGGACGUCAUGGCCAGGCUGAGGUCCUUUCGUGUGGAUAGUGAUCUCUGCGGGAAAUGCGAGAGCACGAUCGUCACAACCUGGGAGGAUCUGUCUAAGAGGAGCUUAAAUCCGGCUCUUGCUGGCAGGAACUUCUUGUUUCAUGCUUUUGUUCCACGCAGGAGAGCGAUGCAUAUUGGCAAGCAUCGGAGGUAUGCCGAGGUAUGCAGAGGCAGUGCGUACAAGUUCUUACAUGCCUUAGACGUGGAGAGGAUAGAAUUCAACAGGACAGAAAUAAAAGGAGGAUUUUUUCAAGCCCUAGAGUGCUUGGAUUUGCAAAUCUAACUUUUACAUUGUUUAAAUUUAGUUUUUUCCAUUUCCUUUC
rnacentral:lncRNA from 1 species